GGUUAAGCGACUAAGCGUACACGGUGGAUGCCCUGGCAGUCAGAGGCGAUGAAGGACGUGCUAAUCUGCGAUAAGCGUCGGUGAGGUGAUAUGAACCGUUAUAACCGGCGAUUUCCGAAUGGGGAAACCCAGUGUGUUUCGACACACUAUCAUUAACUGAAUCCAUAGGUUAAUGAGGCGAACCGGGGGAACUGAAACAUCUAAGUACCCCGAGGAAAAGAAAUCAACCGAGAUUCCCCCAGUAGCGGCGAGCGAACGGGGAGGAGCCCAGAGCCUGAAUCAGUGUGUGUGUUAGUGGAAGCGUCUGGAAAGGCGCGCGAUACAGGGUGACAGCCCCGUACACAAAAAUGCACAUACUGUGAGCUCGAUGAGUAGGGCGGGACACGUGGUAUCCUGUCUGAAUAUGGGGGGACCAUCCUCCAAGGCUAAAUACUCCUGACUGACCGAUAGUGAACCAGUACCGUGAGGGAAAGGCGAAAAGAACCCCGGCGAGGGGAGUGAAAAAGAACCUGAAACCGUGUACGUACAAGCAGUGGGAGCCUCUUUUAUGGGGUGACUGCGUACCUUUUGUAUAAUGGGUCAGCGACUUAUAUUCUGUAGCAAGGUUAACCGAAUAGGGGAGCCGAAGGGAAACCGAGUCUUAACUGGGCGUUAAGUUGCAGGGUAUAGACCCGAAACCCGGUGAUCUAGCCAUGGGCAGGUUGAAGGUUGGGUAACACUAACUGGAGGACCGAACCGACUAAUGUUGAA
rnacentral:rRNA from 1 species